rnacentral:rRNA from 1 species
UGGGGAAUAUUGGACAAUGGGCGAAAAGCCUGAUCCAGCCAUGCCGCGUGUGUGAAGAAGGUCUUCGGAUUGUAAAGCACUUUAAGUUGGGAGGAAGGGCAGUAAGUUAAUACCUUGCUGUUUUGACGUUACCAACAGAAUAAGCACCGGCUAACUUCGUGCCAGCAGCCGCGGUAAUACGAAGGGUGCAAGCGUUAAUCGGAAUUACUGGGCGUAAAGCGCGCGUAGGUGGUUCAGCAAGUUGGAUGUGAAAUCCCCGGGCUCAACCUGGGAACUGCAUCCAAAACUACUGAGCUAGAGUACGGUAGAGGGUGGUGGAAUUUCCUGUGUAGCGGUGAAAUGCGUAGAUAUAGGAAGGAACACCAGUGGCGAAGGCGACCACCUGGACUGAUACUGACACUGAGGUGCGAAAGCGUGGGGAGCAAACAGGAUUAGACACCCUGGCAGUCCACGCCGUAAACGAUGUCGACUAGCCGUUGGGAUCCUUGAGAUCUUAGUGGCGCAACUAACGCGAUAAGUCGACCGCCUGGGGAGUACGAACGCAAGGUUA